UGGUGGGUGGAGCUGGUCCGUGACGUGCAUCUCUGCCCUGCCUUGCCCUGCCCUGCCCUGCCCGGGGGCUGACAUGCCCGCAGGAUGACACCUCUCGCUAGGCACAGCACCCCAGUUCCCCUCUCGGAUGUGUCUCCUCCUCCUUUUCUGCAGGCGGCUUCUCUUCUGCAGCCACCCCAGCCCCUGCGGGCAAGGGCAGCUCGACAGGGGUAACGGCAGGCCUCCAGCCCGUGCCCCUCAGGUGCUGGCACCCAGGGGACCAGCCUCACCGGCCGCUGCGACGUGUUAGAUACGUGAUGCAGCUCACUAGCGAAUCGCGCAGUCAAUUCAGGGCAAGGGAAGUAGUUGCCACACUAUAAAAUGACUGUCCAGUGGAGCAGCUUGUGCUUGAAAACGUGUCACAGCUCUACAGCUGGUUUCUCUCCAGAUUUAAUGUGAAUGUGUAGCGUGGCCCUCACGAGGAGCGAGUCUCCCUGAGCUGGGAAGGGGAACGACCAAGCUCCUCACUGUGCGUGGGCCCAGAAAGCCUGAACUGGCUGUGCUGGAAACCUGCUUAGGGGAAAAGAGGCACCAACAAGCAAUAUGCUUUCAAAGUGCUGCCUGAAGUGAAAGGGUCAGGAGAGAUGAUUUAACCUCCAACAGGGGCCUACACACGGUGGAGCAGAGAAAGUGCUAAUGCUUUCCAUCUGUGCCUAAGAAUAGGGCCCCUGGCCCUUCCUUUGCCCUCCCCCUGCUGCACGCAUACUCGCACCAUCCUCCUUCAAUCUCCGCUGCUGUCUUUUUCCCCCCUGUUUUUUUGUACAUGUGUUUUCUUCCAGCAGCUUCAGUCAUUGCUUUGGAAUCCCAGUUAUGAAACAAGGCUUCAGAGGAGAGAAAGGGAUCUUUGCAGUGCUGCUGCAAUCAUGAAGACAGCCACUGCACUUGUCUUGGCCACCUUCACUUUGCUCUCUUCAGGAAAGAAGUUCCGAUGGUGUACGUUGUCUGAUCUAGAACAAAGGAAGUGCGCUGAGCUGUCUAAGGCUCUCUUGGCUGUCCUGCCUCUUGCUACAAUCAACUCCUUUGCAAGGGUUUCUUGCAUCCGGGCACACAACACUCAUGACUGUAUCGACAAAAUCAGGGCAAAUAAAGCAGAUGCUGCCUCUUUGGAUGCUGGAGAUGUUUACUCUGCUGUGAAGAUGUAUGGCUUGACUGUGGUGGCAAAGGAGAUCUACAAGGAAGGAAGCUGUGUGUUUGCUGUGGCCAUUGCCAGAAAAGGAAAUUUGGACAUUCAGAAGCUCAGAGGAGUGCAAAGCUGCCACAAUGGAGCCAGGUGGACAUCAGGCUGGAAUAUCCUACUAGGCUUCCUCCUGGCUAGGAAUGACCUCUUCUGGGAUAAGGAGCAGCCUUUGAGCCAAGUGAUCAGUGGGUAUUUCAAUGCCAGCUGCAUCCCAGGCAUUGGAGUUACCUCCCCUCAGCUCUGUGCUCUUUGCCAAGGCCAGAAAUCCUACGUCAGGGACAAGAACCACUUCUGUGAGACCAGUGGUAAUGAGCCCUUCUAUGACUCUGAAGGAGCGUUCAGGUGUUUGAAGAGUGGGGCUGCAGAUGUUGCUUUCCUAGAUCACUUGGAGAUAAUGAAUGCCACAGAGUCAGAUCAAGAGGAAUAUGAGCUCUUGUGUCCUGAUGGAACCACAGCUGAGCUAAGGGCAUACAGCACCUGUAACCUGGGUCGUGGGCCUGGUCAUGCCAUCAUCAGCCGCCACAACUUCCAGAAGAUUACCAAGAAAUUUCUCACCUUGAUCCAGCACCUCUUUGGGCAGAAGGGAAAGCAAAAGGCCAGGUUUGAGCUUUUCUCUUCAGCACCGUUCAGGGGCAAGAACCUGCUGUUCCGUGAUGCCACUCAGCACCUGCAGCUCCUUGAGGAUCAAGCAGAGAUUGCCCAUAUCCUUGGCCUGGACUACGUAGCCCUCCUGAAGGGACUGGGUCAUGAAGGAAGUUCCCUGGACAAUAGUGUCGUGCGCUGGUGCUGUAUUAGCCAUGCUGAACUCCGCAAAUGUGAGGAAUGGGCCCUGAGCAUCAAAUCUGACCCUCUGGUUUGUGUCCAAGCAACUUCAAUGACCAAUUGCAUUGAGAUGAUCAAGAGUAAUGAGGCUGAUGCGGUUACGCUGGAUGCAACACAUGCCUACAUUGCUGGGAAGUGUGGGCUGGUCCCAGUAGCUGUGGAAUGUUAUGGGAAGGAAUGUGGCCCAGGUGCUGGAAGAACAGAGAAGCUAAUCCGUUUUACAGAUGGAGCACUGUCCCCUAUCUAUGCUAUAGCUGUGGCAAAGAAGAAUGCCAAGCACAUAAAUGUUCAUAACCUGGGGGGACGGCGCUCCUGCCACAGUCACCUGUACAGUCCUGGAGGAUGGCUGCUUCUUUCUAGAUACACAGUAGGAGCUCUGGAGAAUGAUGCUGAGAACUGUGAUAUUAGCUCUGCCUACCAGAGUUACUUUUGGAAAAGCUGCAUGCCAGGAGCAGUUGGGAAUCUGUGCAAGGUCUGCAUUGGAGAUGAUAAAACAGAAAUGCCCAAAGCAUCCAGCCGGUGUGCUGCCAACCAUAACGAACGCUACUACGGCAACAUGGGGGCGCUCAGGUGUCUUGUUGGCAAUCCCAGUGGAAGAAGCUUUGGUGAUGUGGCUUUCCUGGAACAUUACAACCUGCUCCAGAAUAUUGAGAAUCUGGACAACACAGGCUGGGCCAAAGGUUAUACACCUAGUGACUUUGAACUCCUGUGUCUGGAUGGAAGGCGUGUUGCAGUCACAGAGUGGGCAGACUGUAACCUUGGUCCUGUUCCUCCUAGUAUAGUCAUGACUCGACCAAUGGCCAUCACUAAGAUCUAUGACUUCUUAAUGAAAUCUCAGACAUCUUGGACUUCUGCAAACAGGAUAUCUGCACAUCUUCAUCUUAAUAUGACGUACAUCAGCUCUUCAGGAUGUUCCCUAACCACUGCACAGAUUGAAAUCAAAAGAUGCAAGCCUAACAUCAGCAAAAAUAGCACAAGGAAAACAGCUGCCAAUAGAAAUUUAGAUGAAGAUUGGGUAUUUCAUGACCAGACAGAUUUCAUGUUUACAUAGUGAAAAAGCUGAAUGUUCAGGAGGCUCUUUGCACCUGCUGGUAAGGCACACUCUCCCAUCCUAUGAUAACUACUGUGCUGGAGAAGCUGAUAAUGCUGCUGGGAUGUCACUCCUUCACAAAAUGAAAAAGAAAGAAGCCGAACUCAACAGCAACAUAUAUUUUCUAAGCCUAUGCAAGAAACACAACAUCAUUCCCUGAGGACUGAAUAGCUACAAUCUUCUGACUACUACACACAGCUCUAAAUAUGCUUCACAACUAUGGAGGAGAACUUCAGAAAAAACUUAGAAAUCAUCAUCUUCACCUAACCUAGUCCAAAAGAGAUCAACUCAGGAAGGAAAUCAACACAUGCUGCAACAACUUGAGAGAGAAAAAUUUGGAUAUCUUUCCAGACAUUAUACAACAUAUACAAAGAGACUACCAAAGAUUUUCUACAACAUCCUUCCAACAUAAAAAGAAGAAAUGGAACCAAUUACUUUAGGGACAACUUUUCCCAACCACAAAGCAACCAUCAGAGAAACAACACCCAGUACCUUAGAACAUUCCAACCUCAUACUCAAUGUAACUGAAAGAACUAGUCAACCCUCAAGUAUUAUUCAUCUCUCCACACACACACUUACCAAAGCUGAAAAAUCUGCCCUCUCUAAAGGCCUGAAUUUCUAUCUGUAGCAUUGUUAGGGUAUUUUUUCAAUGUGGAAAACUAGAAGAAUUCUUCUGACACACCCACUUCAAGGAAUAGUUCCACAACCAAAAUGAAUUCACUUCCAACAAGACUUCAAAAAAAUCAGACUGCACACUUCAAAGUAGACAAAAUUCAAACCUUGACCACUAUGCUGACUGCUUCAGGGUAAGAAUGAACAAUGAAAUAGCAAUAUGCCAUCAUAACAAUCUCUCCCUCUCAGAGAGAAGGGCCACAGAAUCUCUAAGAUCCAACCACCAAACAGUAAUAAAACUAGCAGAUAGAGGAAGAGCUAUAGUUAUCUUUAACCGUGAAGACUACGUAAAAGAAGCCAACAGACAACUCUGACACCACCUACUACAAAAAAAACUAGAGGAAGUACAACUCCCUUUUUCACCUUAACACUCAAAACUACCAUCAAAUCAUUUCCAUCUGAACUACAGGAUACUUGAAACUACAGGAAAACUACAAAACUUGAUCCCCUCCAUUACCCAAACCAGGGAUUUUUUCCAUGCUCCCUAAAAUGCACAAACAAGGGAACCCAGGUAGACCUAUCAUAUCCAAACACAGAACCCUAACUGAGGAAAUACCAGGUUUCAUCAGAUCCAUCCUAAAACCUCUUGUCACCCAAAGAGCAAGUUUUGUCCAAGACCCAAGACUUUCUACAAGUAACACUCUCUUAGCCACCAUGGAUGUUACCAGCUUAUAUAUGUCGCUGCCGUGAACUGCAGCAAAGGGGUCGGGACCUUAGAAGCCACCAGGCGGGUACUUGUGACGCAUGGAGUGGAAUUAAUUAGGCAGACGCUUAUCGGUUGCAAAGCAAGAUUGUUUACUCACGCCGUCAAGGUGGUGAAUAGCGGAGGUUAGAGAUACUUGGUUAGUUACAGCUUAGGGUUCGUAGGUCGGUCUGCAUAAGAGUUCGGUGGUUGGGCAGAAAAGGUCGGGCCAGCAGGUCGUUGAUUUAUGUCUGAGAUUGGGUCGAGACGCGGGGAACUGACAAGUGAUCAAAUUGUCAGUUACUCUGAUAUGUGUGAUCAGAGGUCUCCAAGGUGCGUACGGAGGUCCCCCUUCUUCUUCCUCUUUGCGGAAGUGUAUGUGGGUUUUAUUUGUAUAAUAGCCAAUUGGUUUUCGCCACGUCAUAAAUUUAAUUAGAAUCGCCAAUUAUUUAGCAGUCUUCGCUAGGGUGUUAUGAUAGGGCUACUCCUCUUUUUAUUCUGACCAGUUAUAAUGAUUUAUGUAAAGCAAAGAAGGCAAAAGUUUUAUCUCUGUUAGUGGCGCAGCAAUAAAUUUCUUUUUGACAUGCGCAGCAAAAAAAAAAAAAGCUGUUACUAUCAUUUGUUAACCCUUAGUUAACCUAGUGCAGAAUUAAACUGUUAACUGGUAUCUCUUGCUUGUGACAUGGGCACUACUUAAUUGGGUUGUGACAAUAUACCAACAUCCCACACCAGGAUGGCAUCCAAACCUGGCUUACAUAUCUGUAAGAGCAAGAUUACAACUCAGAGUACAGACCUGAAGAUAUUACUGAACUUAUACAUUUCAUGCUCACACACAACGUCACUUUCAAUAACCAACACCUCCCUCCAGACCACAGGCACAGCUGUGGGCACCAAAAUGGCCCUCCAAUAUGCCAACCUUUUUAUGAGCCACAUGGAAGAAGAAUUUCUCAAGAACUGCACCAACCCCAUGCUCUUCUUAAGAUAUAUAGGUGACAUCAUCAUUUGGACUGAACCUGCAAUCUGAUUGAUUUCCAUCCGAAAUUCAGUAAUCAUCACCCCUCCAUCAGACUAUUUUGAAUACUCUGGCACCAACAUUUCCUUUUUAGACACUACGAUCACUAUCCAGAAUGGUAAAAUACAAACCAGUAUAUACAAGAAGCCCACAGACCAACGUAUCUGCACAGAACUAGCAAUCACCCAAAACAUACCCAAAAAGCUGUAAUAUUCAGCUAAGCCCUUCGAUACCACUGAUUUUGAACUGAGGACACCCGCAGUUGUUACUUCACAAAUCUCAAAAGGGUUUUGACUCAACAAGGACACUCCUUCAGAAAGAUAGAUUGCACAUUUGAAAGAGCCAUCCAGAUACCACAUAAAGAAUUGCUGCAGUACAAAAAGAAAAUUUCCACAAAUCGCACACCAUUAGUUAUGACAUACCAUCCCUCCUGGAACCUACACAGAAAAUCCUCAAACAAUUGCAACCCAUACUAGAAGAAAACCAAAUUCUUAAAGAGAUCUUCCCAAAACCACCCAUCCUUUAAACAAGCACUGAACCUCACCCAUCUCAUCACCAGAAGCAAGCUUCCCAUUAUGGCUCCAAAUGUGCUGAAUGGAUCCAGAGCAUGCCAGGACAAGAAAUGCAAGACCUGCCAAUAUACCUUCAGCAUUCCCAGAAUAACUGCACCUCACAACAGAAUCAUCACGAUUCCUGGAUCUUACACCUGCACCUCCAGAAAUGUUAUACAUCUCAUCCAGUGCACUAAAUGCCCUGAUAACAUAUGCAGGAGAAACCAAACAGUAACCUUUGUACCUGUGUACAACCUGUGUACCAGAAUGAAUGCACACUGAAAAUCUAUCAAAGACAAAUACCCAAUUACCUGUGGGUACACAAGACAACCACUCUCUCCAAUCUCUUAGUUCUAAUUCUCAAAGGAAAUUUACAAAACACCUUUAGUAGAAAAGCCUACAAACUUCAUAAGUCUUCUGGAUAACUUCAUAAAUCUACUGGAUACAAAAAAUCAUGGACUAAAUAUAGACAUUGGAUUUAUGACACAUUAUAACCUGCCUUCCAUCUGAUGACCCCAGGUAGCUGGGUUGACUCCCAGGCUUCUUUCCUUGCAGUGUUCUCCAAAUGGUCUUGCAUGGUGCCACCUUCUUAUCCAAUAGGGAAGAAAAAAAAUCUUGGAGCCAGCUUCAGCAGUUUGUGUCUAGAUGAACCAUCUCUACUUCUGGCUCCCCAUCUCCCUCACUGAGGGCUGUAACUCCAGCUCAGACUCCCUGCCUGGCUCCAUUGAACAAGCCAAUACAGGAAGCAGGCACUACAGUGUACGUGCCUUCCAGCAGAAGGCUGAAAAAGCAAAGGGCAGAUGCAGGAAGGUCCAAGCAUGGCAGGAGAAUAAAAACUGGUCAAGCACUUAGCAAGAGUAAAAUAAAAUGGCAUAAUGCAGCAAAAAUUGUGAAGUCCUUGUAUGGUGUUAGUUCUACAGCCAGCAUUAGAUCAAUUAAUUUUAGCAAGCUGAAGUCUUAAAAGGCAUCCUUUUAUUUUUUGGGUUUAAUAUUCCACCUGCUGGACUGAAGCAGCACUGUACUUGGAUCUUGAGAAAGGGCUUCCAAAGCUAAGAUUAUAUUAAAAGUGGGAAAUAUUAAGAUGGCUGUAGAAUGCAGACUUAAUGCAAUUAAAAUAUAUGAGCAUCUCCAAGUUUCA